rnacentral:rRNA from 1 species
UACGUAGGGUGCAAGCGUUGUCCGGAAUUACUGGGCGUAAAGGGCUCGUAGGCGGCCAACUAAGUCAGACGUGAAAUCCCUCGGCUUAACCGGGGAACUGCGUCUGAUACUGGAUGGCUUGAGAUUGGGAGAGGGAUGCGGAAUUCCAGGUGUAGCGGUGAAAUGCGUAGAUAUCUGGAGGAACACCGGUGGCGAAGGCGGCAUCCUGGACCAACACUGACGCUGAGGAGCGAAAGCCAGGAGAGCAAACGGG